GGGGGAGAAUGGGCAUCCCACCCCAGCACUUUCUAGGAAGAAGGGCAGCAUUUUGAAGGGCUGGAAGUAGAGGAAGGAGGUUGCGGGUAGAAGACUCCAUACUUUCUGUGACGCCUAUUCCUUAGGAAUCAAGGCUAUCUGUAAUCACAGGGCUAUUUGAAAAAGAGAAGAAAAGGUGUCUUGAAAUUCAACCAACAUGUUUCAAUUAUUUGCUCCUAAGAACAACAGAAGUUUCAACAUUCUGCCAACAGAGUAACUCCUGGAAGAUUGGCACAGAAGAAGGCACAAGGAAGUCAGUGAUAAAAAUAUUUAAGCAGCUUUGUCUGCCUUAGACCUUCCAACUAAAAGUACAGCAAGUGGAAUGGAAUGCUAAUAUGAGGAUCCAAAUUUUCAGGGAAGGAGGAGAGCCUUUAUAUAACCAAAGAUAUUUUUGGACCAUGAAUUCAGAAAUUCUCGGAGCCACCCAUCAGUGCCUGAGCUUCAGUGAGUCCAUAUCCCAUGUCACCCACGGCAAAGGAGACUCUAAGACUUCUGAAGAGUUUCUUGCUUCUUUCCUGUGGGGCAGUGACUCCACUUCCCAGCAGUAAUGGAAUAUCCUGAAUUAGCUACAUUAAUGUUAGAACCAUUUGGACCUCACCCAGGACUUCAACUACAUUAUGAGUAACUCCUGGACGAUUGGCACAGAAGAAGGCACAAGGCAAAUACCCAUCUCUGUACACCCUGUGCUACUGUGUCAUGUGCUGCUCCAGGCAACUCCAAUGGAUUGGCCACCCUGGCCAAUGUGUUCUAGUAUGUUACGUUUAUGUUCCCCUGCUUUCUACAAUCCUGUUCAAAGAGUUGCUGACUUAACCACAG
ensembl:lncRNA STARD13-AS STARD13 antisense RNA